GUACUCCCUUCUGCAACACAUAUAUAAAAAUUGGAACAAUACAAAGAUUAGAAUGGUCCCUGUGCAAGGAUGACACUCAAAUUCGUGAAGCGUUCCAUAUUAAA
rnacentral:snRNA from 1 species